GGCUGAAAUGCAAUUCUUAAAGUUUAUACAUAUAUGUAGCAAUGUGAAAAAAGUAUCAAUGUGAAUUUUAUGUAAAAUUCCUUAGCUUAUCUCUCACAUUAGAAUGUGUUAAAAGUUAUCUAUGACAAUUCAAAUUUGUAUUUUUCUUUAUUGGUUAUUUUUUUAUAAAAUUUUAUAUGUAAGUAUAUGACCAGAAAGUACUAUAAGAUUCAAAGUAAUCUAAUACAAAUCUAAUACAUCUUGUACACAUCACUGUGAGAUUGCCAAUGUUCGUAAAUCUGUUGUCAUUUGAGUAUUUGAAAUUAACUGUUCUUCAACCUCUGAUAUAAUUACAUUUUAGUAAAAUGGCAAAGCAAGGAUCAACUCAAACUUUAGAUUCACUGCCUAUUCAUGACCUGAAUUUGAUAUUUCAUUUCUUCCAAUAUAAAAUUUAAGUAGAAAAACUUUCUUAAAUAACAUUUAUCCAAAAUGUAAAACACAGCUCAAGAUAAUUCAGAAUGUUAAAUACAAUAUGGAAUCAGCAUGAUUUAUACCUAUUUUACUUAUUAAACCAUUUAUUCAAUGGAAAAUACAUAUUUCAGGCUGUCCACAUGCUAUGCACAGUUGUUGCAUUCAUUGAGACCAUAGCCCAGCAGGAAACAUAGAUACUGAAUAAGUAAUAACAAAUAUGAUAAAGAUUAAUGAACAAGUUUUGUACAUUAAUUAUAGAUAUAAAUGAGCAUGGGUUACCUUUUGUAUUAUAU
rnacentral:lncRNA from 1 species